GGUGCACGGGUCGCCAUGUUGGGUUAGGGCAGCUGCUUUGGCUGCUUACCCGGAACCCUCUCAAUCUAUUGACUCGACCCGAAUGCCGAGUCUUGGUUCCACACCCACUCCUCCCGACGCCCGGACUCGUAGAGCAGCAUUUCUGGCGCCACCCUAUAGCCAGUAGGAUGGGCGGCGGGAGCAUGGAUCAGAAGCGGUUCCUUGUUUUGAACUACCACGUGGAUUGCCGAGCCAAUCAAGGGGAACGUCCACUUUGAUUCGCCGGCUUGCUCAGACCCCGCUUUAACCUGGGUCAGACGGCAGAACCUCUUAAACGAAAGGUCUCGGCCUGCCUAGUCGUUUCCCGUCCUGGGCCUCUGAGGACCUCGCGGCAAGGCUGCGAGCAGAGGCGUUGGUCUACCUUCCAAAUGGAGGCCAUGGGAUCUUGGGAGGUUUUGUUCUCCACUCUUGGAGACACGAGGAUGGGAACUGGAGACAUUACCGCCUGGACUGCCCUAAUGCUAAGUGCAAGGGCUUUGGCCACUCGCCCUGGAAGGCGGAAUAUGGAGAGCGGCCGACUAAGUGCAGAAAAGUAUCUGGAGCUAAAAGGGCUUGGAGCCCGGCGACAAGGGUUUGAGAGGGGCACUUAUGCUCCCAUUCAGUGAAAUCAGUGGAUCAAUAUCAGUGGAGAAGGGAGAUGUCUGCAUGUGAUGACUGGCUGCCUCCGUGGACUGAGGUUCAGACGUGCCUGGAAACAAACCUAAAGCUGCCCUACCUAAGAAUCACAUCCCAAGCUAGACUUGACCCUCAUACCUGUGAACCCAGACGGUCCAGAAACAAGCUUACCAGUGAGUCUGGGCUCAGGAACAGGUGUGUGUGCCCUUGGUGCUGGGGCUAUUGGAUUGGCCUACCUACAUCCUCAACAGUCUCCACUCUGCCUGAAUGAUCCUGAGGGUAUCAGAAAGCCCUACACUGUUGGUACCUGGGCCCCAACAUACUGUGAACGGAAAUGGGCCUUCUUUCUUUUCCUAUAGGUUAUUUGCUGACAGUUCUAUUAAACUUGUUUCUAAG
ensembl:antisense 4930524O07Rik RIKEN cDNA 4930524O07 gene